rnacentral:lncRNA from 1 species
GUGAGUUCCCAGAGAGCAGGGCUCCAUGAGUGGGCAGACUGGGCAGGAGAUGCCUCUAAUGUGCAGAUGCCCCCUCACAGGAGCUUGGAACAGAUUCAC